ACUCCCCACAUCACCCAGCAAGCUCUCCACUCCCCACACCACCCAGCAAGCUCUGCACUCCCCACACCACCCAGCAAGCUCUGCACUCCUCACAUCACCCAGCAAGCUCUCCACUCCCCACAUCACCCAGCAAGCUCUCCACUCCCCACAUCACCCAGCAAGCUCUCCACUCCCCACAUCACCCAGCAAGCUCUGCACUCCCCACACCACCCAGCAAGCUCUGCACUCCCCACACCACCCAGCAAGCUCUGCACUCCUCACAUCACCCAGCAAGCUCUCCACUCCCCACAUCACCCAGCAAGCUCUGCACUCCCCACACUACCCAGUAGCUGAGUGCUGGAUGCAGUUAUCCUUGUGUCAGUGAUCUCAUACAUGGGAUAGAUUCAGGAUCCGCCUGCCUUGUAUCAGACCCCUGGAUGGUGGGUUCUCUGUAUCUGGGUGGAUCAGACCAUUGUCUCCCACAGACGCCUUCGGCGUCAUGAUGGACAGAGCCAGCUCAUUUCUUACACCCUAGAUUUAUCCAGA